rnacentral:rRNA from 1 species
ACUCCUACGGGAGGCAGCAGUGGGGAAUAUUGCACAAUGGGCGCAAGCCUGAUGCAGCCAUGCCGCGUGUGUGAAGAAGGCCUUCGGGUUGUAAAGCACUUUCAGUUGUGAGGAAGGUGGUGUCGUUAAUAGCGGCAUCAUUUGACGUUAGCAACAGAAGAAGCACCGGCUAACUCCGUGCCAGCAGCCGCGGUAAUACGGAGGGUGCGAGCGUUAAUCGGAAUUACUGGGCGUAAAGCGUACGCAGGCGGUUUGUUAAGCGAGAUGUGAAAGCCCCGGGCUCAACCUGGGAACUGCAUUUCGAACUGGCAAACUAGAGUGUGAUAGAGGGUGGUAGAAUUUCAGGUGUAGCGGUGAAAUGCGUAGAGAUCUGAAGGAAUACCGAUGGCGAAGGCAGCCACCUGGGUCAACACUGACGCUCAUGUACGAAAGCGUGGGGAGCAAACGGGAUUAGAUACCCUGGUAGGACAGU